CGAUAACAAAAGCAGGUACAAAAUCCCGACACUGAAAAAGAGUCAGCCCGAGCUGAGCUAUCCAACAAAUUUCUAGUUUGUUAUGUCAUGAGAUAGACAAGUCAGGGCACAGUAACAGCCAGAGCUAUCAGCAUCCCACCCAAAAGUCAAAAUGUCAGUAUUUGUCAGAAGCACGGCUUGCUUCAACUCAUUUUUGAAGAGAAAAUAUCCUAGGGUUUUCUCUUUGGUAGAAACCAGCUUUGCAAGGCUAGACCCUCAGCGACCUGCAGUUCAAACACAUACACAUCUCCCUACCCCCCUCUUCCAAAAUUGCUCCUUUCUGGUACUUCAGCCAUCCCCAGCAGAGCAGGACCUACUGCCAUUCCUUCUGGCCACGGACAACAUACGCAGCACAGCCUGCAGCAGACAGAUAGGCAGCUGCACUGGUGCUGUGAAGAAAUAGAGAACGCAAAAAACUGUAUCAAUGAAAGAGGGAAAAUAUGCCAUAAAGUGGAAAAGAUAUUAUGCACUGUUUUUGGAGUUUUCUUGUCUGUGCUAUGACAGCAGACAUGAAAGAGAUGGGAAUGCCAUCAGGAGCUACAGGUGUAGAUGAAAAUGAUGUCCAAAUGCAAAGGUAGAAUUAUUGGUACUGUGUUACCCUGAAGUAAUUAUUGUUCUGCAGUCCUCACCCAUUGAAAAUCUUAACAAGGUAAGCAUUAAUAUGCUGUACAUUGCCUCUGGAAAUAGGCAGUGUGACUGAAGUGUGCAUAAUAAACUAGUCCAGGUUGCAACACAAGAGAGCUUUGCACAGGCAUACGUGACCACAUGCUCCUGCUCAGACAUCUAUAGCAGACUGUCCCUUCCAUUGUCAUUUACACGCUCCUGAGUAAUUGCACUCAUAAGGGUGACUCUGCUGAAAUGAGCAGGAAAUCGACUGAAAUAUCGAUGCUGCCAAAAGAUCCUGUGCACGUUGAGGGAACAUUUCAUUUUAUGUUUCUAUUAUAUACAGCUGGGGAACAUGGCAACCAGUCAUCGGGAGAUGUCCAUGUUGCACUGGAGUUCUUCAGACAUGAAUAGCUGAUAAACAGCAUCACCAUUAAGUAGGGUGAAGUUCUUCUCAGUCCAAAACGGUCCACUCACUACCACUUGUAAUGGCAGCUGUGAGCCACUUUGUGCCGGAGGAGUGCAGUAUUUGAGAUGAAGGAUAGAAGCCAAAAUUCAACAUUUCACAGCUAUCAGAACUUUCCUUGAUCAUGAAGCCUCUGACCCCAGAAAACAUGAAGGGCUGCAGAAGCUGAGCAAUGAACAGAUAUCCCACCAGUUUUGUAUUCUCAUGUGACUUUGCUGCUGUUAUAUUUGACUCCCAAACAACUCUAUUUUGGCGAAGAAACUGCAGAUCUUCCAGACCUCAAAUUUCAAGAAAAGUUAGUACUCAUCCAGGUAUUCAUAAAUAAUUCAUAACAUAGCUUCAUCUUUAGCACCAUAUUAAAGUCAGCCUAUUAAUUUGCAAAUCCGUAUUUGCAUUAUUCAUUUUGUUCUAAUUGCAGAAAUUCUCAAAUAAAGCUGAGAAACACUGCAUCACUAGGAGUUGUUAGAAGUUAGGGACAAGUAUUUUUACCUAGAACCAAGGCUCAGUUUCCUGUUCGAUACCUUUGAGCUCUUGGCUAAAUGCAGCUUGACAUCUUAGCCCAAUUUUUGUGGAAACAAGCUCGUGCAAUCAUGUUUCAUGCAUACAUCCUAGGGGGUUCAUAAACCCACAGGCCAAACUAAACUAAAAUCUGGCAAAAGAGCAAAGUACUCUUAAAGAAGACUCAGUACAUUUCAGCUACUUCAAGUUGCUUGAAAAUAAAUAACUACACAUAAAAGAGAGGCAUCUUAUGUGCCUUAGCCAAAUAUACAUCUCAUUAGAAAUUAGGGAAGCCAUAUGGAAGGGAACUAAAAAAAAUGCCUUACUUAAAGAAAACCUCGGUCAGCUAUCUUUUCAAUUUUAGAGACUGUGGUAUAGGUAAGAGAGGAACAUGCAUGUUGGCAAGCAUCAUCUUUGAAAUAUAUUUACAUACUGGCCAAACAUUUGUUUUGAGCUACCAUAUAUCCAUAUUUUCUGGAAUAAGGCAAGUUACUACACAUAAAAGUAAAGCCCAUGAGAGAUGUUUACCCUACUGAAACCUCUAGAGUUUUUGGACCCCUUGGUCCAAAACUCUCAGAGGGGAGACAGAGAGGGAGGUACUGGUCUCUUCCUCCUUGUAACCAAUGACAAAAUAUGGAGAAAUGUCACAAAGUUGCACCAGAGGACGUUCAGACUAGACAUUAGGAAAAAUUUAUUUACCACGAGUAUAGCAAAACACUGGAACUUGCUUGCCAGAGCAGCGGUUGAUGCGCCUGUCAGUGCUCAAGAAGUUUUUGACCUCAAAAAUAUGCUUUAACUUUUGGUAAGGUCUGAACGGUCAGGCAGUUGGACUCUAUGAUCUUUGUAGGGACCUUCCAACUGAACUGUUCUAAACCAUGUACAUGCACCUCUUUGCCAUGUUUUGUAUCAUCAGCACCUGAAAUGAACAUAACCACAUCUCUACUUAAACAAGAAGAAACAGUGGACUUCCCCUUUUCCACCUAGUGCGCCUGUCAGUGUUUUCUGGCAAAACAGACAUUUGGUGGAGGUACCUAGGAUAAGCAUCCCCACCCCACCACCAGGAAGAGCUUCUCUGCCGGGGCUCUACAGCUCUCCUGACACAGAAGACAAAGGCCAGUCUGCAGUUCUUACUCCUGCCUAAGUUUCAAUUUUAGGUCUUUAUGAAAGCCAGAGCAAGGAACACCCAGCCAUCAAAAAGAAAUAUCUGACCUAAUCAAUACAUUGAGCCAAGACAGCCAAAACAGAAACAGAAUCCUUCAUGGGAAGAUGGAAACACCUUCUGGGAGACAACUGUGUCUGGGGGUCUCUUUGUUUGUAGCAGAGUCCCACCCUCUGAUUCCAUUUCAAAGUAUUUCUGCUUCACAGAGACCAGUCAGGCAGUUCAUAUCACUGCUCCAAUAUCCUGACCUGCUAAAGCUGGAUGUCUCAGGCAGAUGCUGCUGAAGAGAAAGUCAGGUGGGUCACUGACUCCUCAUAGGUCAUUCUUGUUGAUCAUCUAUCUUAAAACUAGAUAACGUACUUUAUUUUGAUGGUAAGCAAACAAAGAAAAAAUAAAAAAGUUCAGUUUGCAACCAAAGCAGUGCUCCUAAUACAAAAUGUUUUGUGAGGACACAUCUCUCUCACAGCACUACCUUAAACCAUGUGGAGACUUUCUGGGCCCUGAAAAAAAAAAAAUAGAAAAAAGAAAAAAAGAAAAAGAGAUCCCAAGAAGCUGGCCUACAAAAACUCCUCAUACAGUGUCCUGGAAAGUCUUGGAGAAUACCACGCAUCACACUCAGGUGGGUGUAUAUACAACGUGUUGACUGCUCCACCUGACCAUGACUUAUUCAGCAUGUCAGAAGAGCCAAGACCUGUGUUCAAAUUCCAGCAGGUCUCUAGCUGCAUUUGGUGAUUUGGGCAGACGUUUCAGAGUUACCAGAAAAAAAAAAAAUAUAUAUAUAUAUAUGUAAAUGUACACACAUCAGCUACAAAAACUUGUUUGAGCAAUUUUGGCUGACACAAAGUUACACCUCAGCCCAUCAGCUUUGUCCCCACCGACAUCAACAGGAAGAUUGCUGUGAACCUGAACAGGAUUUUGUUUUGGGUGUUUUUCCAGGUUUCCAUGUCACAUAGCAGGGUCAAACUCAAACUAGCCCUAGCCUAUGACAUGAGGCAUGUUAAGAUCAAAACAGACAUGGUUUAUACAGAUUUUGCAUAACAUGCUAGUAGUUAACUUUCUGGCUUUUCUUUCAGUUCAUUCUAUAGAGAAUAAAUAGCACGUAAGAAAAAUGUAUGAUAAUCGUGCUCAGAAUAUACAUCUAUAUGGAUUGUUGACACCUAAUAAGUGGUGCGUUACUAGGGAACCUUACCCUCUACAUCUCAAAUUUGAAGAAAUAUUUAGGAUGAGAGAACUCUGGAAGGUAAGGGAGCAACUAAUGGCACUGUGUUUCCACAGCUGUAAGAGUACAAGGCAGAUAAUUCUCUUUUUAUUCCCUUCUGGCAGGCUGGAGCAAAGAAGUAACAUGAAGUGCUCAUAGUCCCAGUCUAAACUCUGGUUCUCUGCAGCCUGGUCUCUUCCAGUUAAAUCUCUCUCUGUUUUCUCUCCCAGAAGAAUACCAAGUUCACACUUUGAGAAAGCAUUUGGAAGAAGAUAAAUGCAAUUCUAGCAUUAGGAUUUUGAGGGUUAGCCAUCACAUUUUUCAAAAAAAGAGGACUGUUAGAAUUAAUUGUCUCCCCCGCUCUGUACACCUCCUACCAAAGAGCAUUAAACCUCAAGAGAUACGUCUGAGGACGUUGUUAAAGCAGAGCUGAAAACCCAGGUUGGGGACUUGGACUACAAAGCAGUACCAACGCCACCACUGUUGGCAUUUCCAAAUAAAAUUUUUCAGGAUCUGCUUCAAAUUCAGGGCAUAUCAGAGACCGUCCUGCUACUCUCUCCUCACCAACGCCAGUAGGAGUAUCAAGCUCCAGGAACAGCCAGCUUAAGGAACACUGCCCCCCAAAAUGGCUCAGAGGGCAUCUAGGACAUACCUUGUAUGCAUGCAUGAGAAAAACUGGGUCACCACGAGUCCUUCCACGUUUUUUCUUCUGUGGAUGCUCUGCAGCAUGAGGUAAAAUCCUGCAACAAGAGCAGCAGGAGAGCAGUAUUAGAAAACCCAUCAAUAGGUCAAGUGCCCAGGGAUACAGAGGUCUGAAACACAUUGUGCGAGCCCUUUCUUACUCAGUAAUUCCCCAUUCAUCUUAUCUACAGUUCAGUCAAGCAAAGUAUUCAAUCAGAAUUAAUUCUAACUAUAUAUAAAUGAAAGAGUGCAUUUAGAAAACCCCAGUGGAAAUUCAUAUCAGUAACAGAGACAAGUAACAGGAAGUAUCUCCACAUUAGAUGCAAUAAAUAAAUAAAAUUCCAUUUUAAAAAAAGCGAAUCAUCUAAAAUCAUCUAUCAUAGUUCAGAUUUGGGCAGAGCCAGGGUCAUAAAAGAACUCAUGACUCAGAAUAUGCUGAAUCACUAUUCACGCUGGGAAAACACCCACUGAGAGCAUCUCUUGUCCUACCAUAGAAAGGGACAGAGGGAAUGUUUCUUCAAGUGCUUUGGAAUGACUUUCUUCAGAAACGAAAAUUCCCCAUGCUGAACUGCAGAUGGAAACGUUCUCAAAAGGAGAGGGAAAACGAAACUGUAUGUGUAUAACACAAGGCUGAUUUGAGUUAGCUAUUGCAAAAGUCAAGUUUUCAUUUUUAGUAGCAGAAAACAAGACUGGAUUACAUUCAGUUUGCAUAAACAGAGCAGGCAUAAAGCCCAGAGGCCUCAGUUUCUCUGCAGUCUGUUAAAUACUGAGAUGCCCUAGGUGGGACCACGUGGCAUAGCAAAAGAGGACACAACAUUGUGCAUCAGUGGCCAUGGCCACAGCAGUAACACCACAGCCUCAACUGCCAGGACCUUCCAGAAAUACAGGUAGAUUGAGUAUAGAGUUUUCCUGUUGGGAACUAUCCCUUCUGGUCCUGUCCUAUAUAUCUCUCCAGA